UGGCUCAGAUUGAACGCUGGCGGCAGGCCUAACACAUGCAAGUCGAGCGGUAGCACAGAGAGCUUGCUCUCGGGUGACGAGCGGCGGACGGGUGAGUAAUGUCUGGGAAACUGCCUGAUGGAGGGGGAUAACUACUGGAAACGGUAGCUAAUACCGCAUAACGUCGCAAGACCAAAGUGGGGGACCUUCGGGCCUCAUGCCAUCAGAUGUGCCCAGAUGGGAUUAGCUAGUAGGUGGGGUAACGGCUCACCUAGGCGACGAUCCCUAGCUGGUCUGAGAGGAUGACCAGCCACACUGGAACUGAGACACGGUCCAGACUCCUACGGGAGGCAGCAGUGGGGAAUAUUGCACAAUGGGCGCAAGCCUGAUGCAGCCAUGCCGCGUGUAUGAAGAAGGCCUUCGGGUUGUAAAGUACUUUCAGCGGGGAGGAAGGCGAUAAGGUUAAUAACCUUGUCGAUUGACGUUACCCGCAGAAGAAGCACCGGCUAACUCCGUGCCAGCAGCCGCGGUAAUACGGAGGGUGCAAGCGUUAAUCGGAAUUACUGGGCGUAAAGCGCACGCAGGCGGUCUGUCAAGUCGGAUGUGAAAUCCCCGGGCUCAACCUGGGAACUGCAUUCGAAACUGGCAGGCUAGAGUCUUGUAGAGGGGGGUAGAAUUCCAGGUGUAGCGGUGAAAUGCGUAGAGAUCUGGAGGAAUACCGGUGGCGAAGGCGGCCCCCUGGACAAAGACUGACGCUCAGGUGCGAAAGCGUGGGGAGCAAACAGGAUUAGAUACCCUGGUAGUCCACGCCGUAAACGAUGUCGAUUUGGAGGUUGUGCCCUUGAGGCGUGGCUUCCGGAGCUAACGCGUUAAAUCGACCGCCUGGGGAGUACGGCCGCAAGGUUAAAACUCAAAUGAAUUGACGGGGGCCCGCACAAGCGGUGGAGCAUGUGGUUUAAUUCGAUGCAACGCGAAGAACCUUACCUGGUCUUGACAUCCACAGAACUUAGCAGAGAUGCUUUGGUGCCUUCGGGAACUGUGAGACAGGUGCUGCAUGGCUGUCGUCAGCUCGUGUUGUGAAAUGUUGGGUUAAGUCCCGCAACGAGCGCAACCCUUAUCCUUUGUUGCCAGCGGUUCGGCCGGGAACUCAAAGGAGACUGCCAGUGAUAAACUGGAGGAAGGUGGGGAUGACGUCAAGUCAUCAUGGCCCUUACGACCAGGGCUACACACGUGCUACAAUGGCAUAUACAAAGAGAAGCGACCUCGCGAGAGCAAGCGGACCUCAUAAAGUAUGUCGUAGUCCGGAUUGGAGUCUGCAACUCGACUCCAUGAAGUCGGAAUCGCUAGUAAUCGUAGAUCAGAAUGCUACGGUGAAUACGUUCCCGGGCCUUGUACACACCGCCCGUCACACCAUGGGAGUGGGUUGCAAAAGAAGUAGGUAGCUUAACCUUCGGGAGGGCGCUUACCACUUUGUGAUUCAUGACUGGGGUGAA
rnacentral:rRNA from 1 species